CAAUAGCGUAUAUUAAAGUUGUUGCAGUUAAAAAGCUCGUAGUUGGAUUUCGGGACGGGCCAGUUGGUCCGCCGCAAGGGGUGUUACUGACUGGUCUGUUCUUCUUCGCAAAGACUGCGUGUGCUCUUCGUUGAGUGUGCGUAGGAUUUACGACGUUUACUUUGAAAAAAUUAGAGUGUUCAAAGCAGGCUAUCGCUUGAAUACAUGAGCAUGGAAUAAUGGAAUAGGACUUUGGUCCUAUUUUGUUGGUUUCUAGGACCGAAGUAAUGAUUAAGAGGGACAAUUGGGGGCAUCCGUAUUUCGUUGUCAGAGGUGAAAUUCUUGGAUUUACGAAAGACGAACAACUGCGAAAGCACUUGCCAAGAGUGUUUUCAUUAA
rnacentral:rRNA from 1 species